CAGUAGCCACGGUAAUACGGAGGAUCCAAGCGUUAUCCGGAAUCAUUGGGUUUAAAGGGUCCGUAGGCGGUCUUGUAAGUCAGUGGUGAAAGCCCAUCGCUCAACGGUGGAACGGCCAUUGAUACUGCAGGACUUGAAUUAUUGGGAAGUAACUAGAAUAUGUAGUGUAGCGGUGAAAUGCUUAGAGAUUACAUGGAAUACCAAUUGUGAAGGCAGGUUACUACCAAUUGAUUGACGCUGAUGGACGAAAGCGUGGGUAGCGAACAGGAUUAGAUACCCCAGUAGUCCCUGUCUCUUAUAC
rnacentral:rRNA from 1 species